AAUGUGUUCAUGAUAGCCUGCUUAUAAACUCCACUGAGGGAGCAGGCUUGAUGCCUACAGU
rfam:Lepisosteus oculatus linkage group LG5, whole genome shotgun sequence.